GACGAACGCUGGCGGCGUGCUUAACACAUGCAAGUCGAACGGAAAGGCCCUGCUUUUGUGGGGUGCUCGAGUGGCGGACGGGUGAGUAACACGUGAGUAACCUGCCCUUGACUUUGGGAUAACUUCAGGAAACUGGGGCUAAUACCGGAUAGGAGCUCCUGCUGCAUGGUGGGGGUUGGAAAGUUUCGGCGGUUGGGGAUGGACUCGCGGCUUAUCAGCUUGUUGGUGGGGUAGUGGCUUACCAAGGCUUUGACGGGUAGCCGGCCUGAGAGGGUGACCGGCCACAUUGGGACUGAGAUACGGCCCAGACUCCUACGGGAGGCAGCAGUGGGGAAUAUUGCACAAUGGGCGGAAGCCUGAUGCAGCAAUGCCGCGUGCGGGAUGACGACCUUCGGGUUGUAAACCGCUUUCGCCUGUGACGAAGCGUGAGUGACGGUAAUGGGUAAAGAAGCACCGGCUAACUACGUG
rnacentral:rRNA from 1 species